rnacentral:rRNA from 1 species
UGGGGAAUAUUGGACAAUGGGCGAAAGCCUGAUCCAGCCAUGCCGCGUGUGUGAAGAAGGUCUUCGGAUUGUAAAGCACUUUAAGUUGGGAGGAUGGGCAGUAAUCGAAUACCUUGCUGUUUUUACGUUACCGACAGAAUAAGCACCGGCUAACUCUGUGCCAGCAGCCGCGGUAAUACAGAGGGUGCAAGCGUUAAUCGGAAUUACUGGGCGUAAAGCGCGCGUAGGUGGUUCGUUAAGUUGAAUGUGAAAGCCCCGGGCUCAACCUGGGAACUGCAUCCAGAACUGGCUAGCUAGAGUAGGGCAGAGGGUGGUGGAAUUUCCUGUGUAGCAGUGAAAUGCGUAAAUAUAGGAAGGAACCCCAGUCGCGAAGGCGACCACCUGGGCUCAUUCUGACACUGCGGUGCGAAAGCGUGGGGAGCAAACAGG